ensembl:lncRNA
AGAAAAAGCUGUCGUUGCCCCUCCAGGUUUCUUCUGGGCUAAUUAUCCCGAUAAUUAAAAGAACAGCUGAGUGGAAUCUGAAUGCAUUCACAGGGCCGGCACACCCAGCUCAGCCGUUUGCUUUACUCUGAUUAAUUUAGCAAAUGAAACUCCCGUAAACCCGCAUAACGUGUGCCCACACACAGCUGCGGUGCCCCGCGGUCCCGGGGGAGAGCCGGGUGCGCUCCGAAGAGGGACCUGAAUGGUGUAACCGAGGCUUUUUGUUGGGAAGCGUUUCUGUGCGCAGUGACGUUUUCCGUCGGGGCUCACGGCCGGCACGAGGCGAGGCUGCCCUUCAGGAGAAGCGCCUUUAUUUCCGUGCGCGAGGAAAGCGGCCGCUGCUGGGGAUGCUCCUCGGGAAGCACCCAGCAGAAGCACACGUGGAACUGCAUGGCACGAUGAGCUUUUGUCAACACGUGGAUGGACUGUCAUGACAUGAGGAUGGACGGUCGUGAUACGAGGAUGGGCUGUGACAACACGCCAAGUUUCUGGGUGCAGGUGGGAGCUGUCCAGCAGGGCCCAGAGCUCUGUUCUGCUGCACCAGGCAAACACCAGGGAUCAGUUUUUUCUCCUGUAAAGGCAAGAGAAAUGGGUGUUUUAAAAAUGUCCUCAUGGAGGGGAGAUUACUGUUGUGUACAUAUAAAGUUACCUAUCUCAGACCUCAGUUAUAUCAUCACUGAGCAUACAGUGCUCAGCUGAGCCUUUGUCAGCUGCUGAUAUUAAGGACACAUUGAAGAACAGAUUUAUUGGGCUGCUGUCUGCAGUGAGCACACUAGAGGAGAAGUAAGACUGUCCCAUUGCAAGAGGUUUCAUUCUACUUCGUGCUGAACCAAAAGGAAUCGAUCAGCUUUGCAGGAAGACCAGAGGGGCUGCACCUGGACCUGGGGAUUCCACCUAGGGCAGUAACAACCUUCCUGGGUAUCCUGAGCACGAGGAGACAAAUUUGCAGGGACAGCUGGAGGAGCACAUGGGAUGGUGUGCAGCACAGAGGAGGGAGCCGACAUGAGAAAAGCACCAAGAACAAUGUGAGCAUGACCCAGGACUGCCCACCUCCAGGCUCCUUCCAGCAACAUGCUGCUCCUUCCAGGUGGAGCCACAGCAAGACAACUGUGGGAACACAAUCUCAGACUUCAGCAUCCUCAGGUAUCUCAUGAUACAUGCGUAGUUCCCAACCGGAUGUUCCCAACCACUUUGCUACCCAACCUCCGAUGUCUGUUAAGCUCUCCUUUCCUAUGGUCAAGAUGAAGCCUAACGUGGUGGCUGGUUAUCUCACAUCAGCUUAAUGCAAGCUCCUUCUCACUGCCUGCCCUGAGCACACCAUCAAGCAUUGGUGCUCAGACACGUCAGGAGGAGGUACUGUGCAAACGCCCUGCAAAGGGAUUCUGCAGGUAGAAGACAAGAGACAAUGAGACGUACAAGGGCAGCAAUAAUGGGCUACUUAGGUCAAAGUUUUCUUCCUUGAUACUACGAUGCAGCCCCAAAGUCUCAUUCUACACAGACCCCAUCCCACACACCCAAAUCUCAGACUCAUCAGAAUGCAGAUGACCACAGCUUGCUGCAGUGCUGCACUCAGCCUUCUCCUGCAUUAUUUAUGGUUAUUCUCUUUGGGAAAGAAAAUAAACAACAACAACAAACAACAAAAAACAACAAAUAGUUUACACGCUUUUAAAACUCAUAAAUAUAACAAACCCAAGGCAAUUUGGCAAACCUGCCUUAUGGCUGGUGGCCCACCUUGGGCCUGCUCAUGUGGUCGUGCUGACAUGUCUUUCUACCUCCAAGGAAUCUGUCACUUGGAGCCAAUCUAUCACAGUGACACACCGCUCAGAACACUUCUUUCUCUUUAUUCAUCCAUUACUUCACUUCCUGCCAUCCAUCUCCCUUGAGAUUUCUUUUCCUUAUUUUUAAUACCUGUGCCAAGUUGUAUCGCUGCCAUCUAUUUACCCACUGUGAUCAUCAGACUAAAACCAGAAAGAGACUGAAGCCAUCGGGCCAAAAUCUGAUUACCUGCAUCUCUUUUUAUUCACGUAUCAUUGAUGGUAUCUGGAGAACUGAACGUGCACUGAGUUUGAAUGAAUACAUUUCACAUAUGAGUGAGUUAAACAGAGAAUUCUGCUUCACAGGUACUGGGGGGAGGGGAGGGGGAAUGACGGUAUUAGCUUAGAUUUCCCAAAAAGCUCUAGAAAAAAACCCUGAGAUUUUUUUUAUCUAUCUAUCUAUCUAUCUAUCUAUCUAUCUAUCCAUCCGUCCAUCCAUCCGUCCAUCCAUCCAUAUAUAUUCUGGAAAUGUUCUGUUUAUUCUCUGGGGAUUGUGACCUUGGGGUGAACCCCACGGAGACCCCACAUUUUCAAGAUGUUCUUUGUUAUCACAUGUUUUAAGAUUACUUUACAGGUCCACGGAAGAAAAGCUUCUCAUACAACCAUUUGUUUCUCUAAGAACUUCAGUUCUAAAUGAAACAUCAAAUAUCGUGGGAGCUGGUAACCCGAAACCCAACAGUUUGUAUCAAGAAACUGCUUGAUACAACAGUGAGUGCUCUGAAAGCAGGCAUUCAUUUCCAGAAGUGCCAUCAGCUGGCCACGUAUUGAUACGUCCCCAGAACUCAUGAAGUUUGCAGACAUGCAUCCUUAGACAGGCACUACUGAAUUAGAGCAUUUUCCCUCUUUUCUCAGAAAUGCACGGAUGGAAUUUCCAUAAUGUAUUGCAGAUAACACACAAUUCCACGUAAAGCCUGAAUAAAUACAAUCAGUGUUCCUUGAAUGAAUGUUGAUAAGGAGCAGGGCAGGAGAGCGGCUGACAGGCUGCCAUGCUGGGCCAGAGCCCAUCUGCACCCACCCACGGGGUAGGACAGCGUAUGUGCGAGAUGUCCUCUGGCUGUGGAGGGACAUCCCAAAGGAAAAGCUGGAGAGCCCAUUCCUUAGGCUACACAGGUGAAUCUAUGGAUGAUGAUUUUUGUCCUUCCUAUUUCGUAUUAUCAGUAGCACGCUUUUGCUAGGCGGAGCAUCAGGUGAGCUAAACGUGUUCAUGGUCUUCACUAGCACAAAUUCAGUGCAGAGCUGUACAGAAAUUAGGGGACAGCCUGCAACACCCCCGGGACAAGCAAACUGGGGUUUGCACUGUGGUAUGCAUGUGGGCUUCACACACUGUCAAUCCUUUCUUUGUUUCCUGAAAUUUCAAGCUCCUUGCAAGCCCUUAGCUAUAUAAUGCCUUAUUUUAGCAUAACUGUUCCUGAUAAAUCCCUGUAGAUACCAAAAUAUGUGAAAAGCAGCUUAGCCCUGGGGAACACCCCCAGUCCCUCAUUAGAAAAAGAUGGGGUAGAGUAUCUUAAAGCAAACAAAAAAAGUGAUGUCCCUGUUAUAGAAUUCCGCGACUUGAGGUAAACCAACCCUAGCCCAGGAAACUGUAUCCUGGGUUACUCAUUCGGAGUAUUCCUCCCUGAGCGGCUGCUUGUUUGUGUACGGCUGCCCCGGGCUAUUGCUGCAAAAUUCCUCGUGCUGAAGCAACUCCAUUCAUACGGGCAGGGCCUGAAAUAACGCACAGCCAGGCUGACUCCCAGCCCAACACGGGUAGCUGCAGUUACAGCCCGACUGAUCCGAGUUCAGUCAUCUUUACACACAGCACUAUCUAUUGAAUUGAAAACACAGGGAAACAAAGCUGGAGGGAGAAACUGCCAGUGUUUGUCUACGUUGUGCAUCCAGCAGACCUCCCCCACAUCUCAAAGGGUUAUAGAAUGUAUUAACUGAGCUUCAGAAUGCCUAAUAAGUACGUAAUUGCAGACUAAUUUCCCCUUUCCUAGACGUGAAUUUACAGUGGUGGCAAAAAAGGAAUGAAGCAAACAAACAAAAAGCACAGUUUUCUUCAAACUUGAAAGUGCUGAGAGCUGAUGCUGUCGCGGUGAGCUGUGCUGGUGGGGGUUUGGCACAAGAAGGGCAACUUGGAGCAGGUAAUGGCUGGGUGCCCCCAGAGCCGCCUACGCCUGCUCCAGCCCCAUGCCCAUCCCCUGUGCCCACAAACGAUUUCUUUGUGUCUGUGGUCUGAGGAAAUGAGCCAGCUGAGUUAGCAACUUCUUUGCUGGCUGUUUCUCAGUGACUGCAGCAUAAAAAGCACAGGAGAAAGGAGGGAGCACCUAGCUGUGUUGCUGUUCAGUGCUGAUGCUAAAUGCCAUCAGGCUAAAGCUGGCUCCAUGAACAUGGAAACCCAUCCAAAGUCUCAUGCCACCCAAACUAAAGGCUUCUCCCAUCUUUAUGCAGUAACUUCACCCUGAGAGAAAACACCGCUUCUCCUGAUUGCAUCUUUGUCGUCUUCUGCGAAUAACUGAUUGCCCGAGAUAGAAGGGGAAAUGAGGGUGACAGCCUGCUUGCUGGUCAGACAGUCUCUAAUGGAGGCCACAAAGAUGGCGAUCUGGCGCACACACGGUGUGUGAUGAGCAGCUGAGCUCCCUUUGUUUGUUCAGCCUGGAGCAGAGACUGAGGGGAGGCCCAGCAAUGGCUGCAGCUCCUCAUGGGGCAAUGGGGACCGGGGGGGUGGCUCUGGGGAGGAGCUCGGUGGGGGAAGGCUGCACCCCAGAGAGUGGUGGGACACCACUGGCACACGGGGUUGGGCUUUGGGGUGGUUCUGUGUGAGGCCGGGGGCUGAGCUGUUCUUGGGAUGCCACUUGGGAUGUUCUGCAGUUGCACAUUGUUGAGGGAACGCCCUGCAAAUCAAUGAUGCAUGAUCAAGUCUGUCAGCCCUUGGGCAACAGUGUUACACCUCGUUGACACAGCUGCAGGGCUGAUAAAUAAAUGCGUUUUUCAGGGCUGCCUCAGGUGGCCCCCAAGUUUUCUCCUCCUUAUUUUUCUCAAAAGAACAAUACCAACAGGUUUCAGCAUCCUAAAGCCUACCAGUAAACCUCAGAAAUCAAACUGCAACCGGAGAAGCUGUGGAGGAAACUUAAUAUAUGAAAAAUGAUCUUCUAAAAAUCAUACAGGAUGUUCCUUCACCAAUUCUCUGUAUUGAUUCCUGUAACAUCAUCUUCUUUCUCCUUUUCUUCUUUUAAUGCAUUUCUAUUUCUUCCAAACACAGGAAAAAAAAAAAAACCAAAAAACGCAAACAUUUCCUUUACAAAACAGAACAAAGAGGUUUUUCUUUCCAAUCAGUAAUUUCGUUUUCUUUUGUAAAUGUAAGGAGAAACUCCUGAAAAAUCAAUAUAUCGUUGUCAAGUCACACACAGUCGGGAAUGGUGCAAGCUUAGUAAAUAAAGGAAAUUGCAAUGUUUCCCUCUCUUCAGUUGGCCUUCAGUGCAUCCAAGGUGACUGCCCAGCCCCGCCGUGCUCCUGGUUUGCUCCUCUGAAAAUGCAAAAGCUGAUCUCGGAGAUGAAAAGCAAAGUUUGAAAAGAAUUGUUCUUGGAGUCAAAAUUCCUGGUGUCCUAAAUUACAGCAACCCCCACCCGGAGCGAUUGGCUCCUCGGGGUAAUCUGAGCUCUCUCAAUUAACUGGCACAGAGAUAAAGAUUGCUCAUGCUAAAGUUGUCACAUAACACCGGGCUUAGAAAUUGGAAAAUCUCAAGCACAAGAAAGGUACCUUUUCACUUGUAUCUACAGCCUCAGCGUGUAUCAAUAUUUGGAUUUGGUUUAUACUCUCUUGAUGUGCAAAACGGAGGGAAUUAUAUACUGAAACAAAAGAAAAGGACUUUUUGUUGGAUUACCAUGUUAAUUAAAAUGUGGAAGACACCAUUUACCAUCUGAACACUUCAGAGUUUGAGUCUGUUGCUUUUGCAAGGCACAACGGGCAUCUGCAAAGUACGUGUGGAGUUCUGAAGCUCAGAUGUAAACCCCUUACAGACCCAAGAGGGGAAGAAGAUAUUUUAACGAGUUGUUUUGCACCUGCAAUUAAACAGACAUGCAGGUUUUCUUUUGGGGUACGGCAUUGUUUUAAUGCAUCUGUCAUCGUCCCUGAAAAUACCCAGUUGUGGAGUGUCAAAAAAAUACCCAACAAAUGAGAUGCAGUUCGUCUUGGAGUUCCUCUGAACACUGGUGCCACUGACAGCCAGCAGCCAGGGUGGGUGAACGGGGGUGUGUGGGCCAUCAUUCAUGAAGUGAGCAUCCUGCAAAGGGGCUCUGCUGCUGUGGCAUGUUUGUGGAGGGAGCCGGGAUCGAGAGCACUACAAGGAAUGGCUCAGGGGAUUAUAGAACUGCUGAGGUCACUUUUAUCUUCUAAACAAUAUUUCAUGUGUGGAAAGGCACUUUGAGCCUCCUGGGGUGAGCACCGUAUGACUCCGGGUCGGCAGCCCUUACACCAAGAGCAGCUUCAUGAUGAAACCUAAAGCAGAAGGUAACAACAGAGCAUCCCCAAACCAACCAAGAAGCACUCCGGGGUGGAUGCCUUCCCCUGAAACAUCUCAUGCAAUUUAUUUCCAUAUCAGCUUGAAUAUUUGAAGGUUUUUGAGGGUUAGGAGAGGACACUGAAUGAGGCCAAGACGUAGAAGACUGAAGAGACCCAAAGCCACAGCAGAGCACCACGUCCAUCCUCCACAUAAAGCUGAUAUCUUUAUGGAGACUCACACUGAAGUAGGACUGGAUCUGUGAGGGUCAAAUUCUGAUUUUGUUGUUGGGAAAGGAUAGGCAGUGAAGGGGCUGCUAGAUUUGUUUCACUUCUCUCACAAAACGUAUUCCUGCCUGAAUUAUGAACCUGCUGUUAUGCUGAUAAGCCUGUUUAUGGUGUGACCUACUUAACCACAGCUCUGGUGGCUCGAGGCUCGCAGCAGCGCAAAGGCCAAAGGCCCCAAACAGGAAAAGAUAUCAUAUGGGGGAAAAAAAGUUUCCAAGCCUUUGUCCUUUACAUGCUGCAAGGUGUCAAGCACUGAACCAGCGCUGAGACCAUUGUUCAACCAACUGCUCUUUUCAAAUGGAAAUGUCUGCAAAAGCCAUGUCAGCAAAAGGAAUUCAUUGCUUCAACGUGGCUCCUAGCUUAUAUCCUACAAUAAAACCUGAGGCCUAUUAGUCCAUACUUAGGACUUGUUACUGGGUUUUAAAGCUCCUUUCAGGCACAGUUUUAGCCUAAUCUGGCCGGAUCACUAGCAAGGUUACGAAACUGCAAGGUUAUGUUGCCUUUACUUGGGAAUGUAUGUCGAAAGGCUGUUUAGCCUCUUGUUUUUUAAAUAACGUCUUUCUGCUGAAGGCAGAGGAACAGUACAGGACAGCUUCACUCACACAGGAAACAGCAUCAAGGCUUUCCCAGAGUCUCUUGAUUUUUCAGCUUCCAUGCUCUGAAGAUAUAAUUCCUUUGAAGUGCCUCACAUAGGGUAGUAUCCAAUUAUAUUUGUAAUCCCAAUCUAAUUCAAUCAGAGACUCCAAUUAUAGCUGAUCUGUCUUUUAAUCUAGUUAAAGUUGUAGAGUAGACUGCACUUUAGCUAACAUGACAAAACUAAAAUUCAGGCUGUUGAACACUUGUAAUCAGGGAUAACCAGCUUACAGCUGGAGCCAGCAGAGGAGGGGAGGUUUGCACAGGACCUCUCUUCAUCUAACAGCCAAACGCUGCAUCAGUUUUAUUUGCAUCUAGCUAUCUGCCAAGCUUCUAAUUACAAACGAGCUUAAUAAGGACUUCUGGGCCGAACCAGAUCCAUCCAGUAUUUUAGCAGUGCACAUUAAGGGACAGGCCAGCUGACACACACAGAAGUGCAAGGCCAUGGUGCACCGCUGCAGACACAUUCAGGGUUCUGUAGGUAUAGAAGCAGGCGGUGUGAAAGAGCUGUGAGGGGAGCCAGACAGAUGGAAAUAGCUCUGCUAGCUGCUCCUGCUGAGUUAGGAUGAUAUCAGAAAAUGCAACUAACCAGCACCAAAAAAAAACAAGUGGUAAACCGGUCUGAUCAGCCAGCGUGAAUGGGGUUACAAUGAAACAACUGAUCUUCAUAGCAGGGAAUACUUUGCAGCUUUUUGGUUUUCAUUUAUACCAGAAUCGACUGGCUGAAGUGACCCUGGCUAGCCAAACAGCAAAGAUGUCCUAUUGUGUUUAAUCAUACCGAGGAGCUGCUAUUAAACUUAAUUACUUCUGUCCCACAUCUCAACUGCUCAGUUUCGGUGUGUUUAUCCACCAAGGCCAAAUCCCCUCUUCCAGUUCUGAGGGCUGUACCUCAUCUGCCCCACUGAAGAGUGAAGUGUGUCUCAGCCACCUGGGGAGGGGGUACACAAACAGGGAUGACCUAACACUAAAAAAUAAUGUCCUGCCUAUAGUUAGGUGUGUAGUUUUACAUUUGGUGAUUCAUUCACAGCUGUUGCCGUGGCACUUCAACAUCUGCAUGAAUCAGACAGAACUGCUAUAAUCCUUCAUUUAAAGUAGUAGCGUGGGGCAUUUCAGCAAAACUAAAUAAAUACAUUUAAAUCAGAGUGAACGUUUGAAUUUGAAUGAACAUUACUUGCAGCAGAGAGAACGUACUGCUGCCUUCGAGGCUUGGUCACGAAUUAAUCUGCAGGGAAGUUGGAAUGAGGAGAAUCGGUGACAUCUUCCCAAACUUUACACUCAGUACAUGAUCCACACACUGUAAAAUCAGACUAAUUCAGAUGCAAAAGUCACCACAUUGUUACAUUCCAUCAAUUUUCCAUCUUAUUCACAGCAUUAGUAAACAAACCAACACUACUAAGCUCGAUCCUUCCAGACACCUAACUCACCAUUCUGCAUACCAGCUGACACUUCAAGCUGUGCAAUGCACGUAUGUCCUUUUUCUGCUUUCAGGCCCUCAUUCAGAUAACUCAGUGUUGGCUUCGUUCUGUGUGUGAUUUAAGUGAUAAUGUUUAGCUCUUGGUGUUUUCCCUCCCCGUUGUGUUCCCACCAGACAAAGAUGGAGGGCUCAGGUUUGGGUUUGUUUGGUUUGGUUUUAGUUGCUGCUGUGGCUUGUUGUUGUUUUAUGUUUUGUUUUGUUUUGAUUUGUUUUGUUUUUAAUAACAGCUGAGCUGUCAAAGACCAGAUGGCACCUCCAAAACUUGCUCAUGCU